UACGUAGGGAGCAAGCGUUGUUCGGAUUUACUGGGCGUAAAGGGCGCGUAGGCGGCAAAUUAAGUCAGCUGUGAAAUCUCCGAGCUUAACUCGGAACGGUCAGCUGAUACUGAUCUGCUAGAGUGCGGAAGGGGCAAUCGGAAUUCUUGGUGUAGCGGUGAAAUGCGUAGAUAUCAAGAGGAACCCCUGAGGUGAAGACGGGUUGCUGGGCCGACACUGACGCUGAUAGCGCGAAAGCCAGGGGAGCAAACGGG
rnacentral:rRNA from 1 species